rnacentral:lncRNA from 1 species
CAUGCAUGUUCAGAACAAAUGUCCUAGGUUACAUGUCUAAAAUGAAAUUAUAAGUUCAGAUAGAAAAUGUUUAGGGAACGAACAUUGAACUUGAAAAGGCAUGAGGGGUUAUGGUAUUUUUCCUGAAAAAAUAUUCUGGUUCAUAAAUUGAUGAAUAAAAAAUCUGUUCAAGCAUAGGACAAAAAAAAUGUUUUUAAUCCAGAUCUUCACCAAAAAUGAUUUUAUCUUUCAGAUAUAUAUGCAAAUUAAAUUUAACUUUUAUAUAUAUCUUAAAACAUAAAAACUUCCCAAACUUCCCAAACCGCACAUGUAAGUCUGUACACAGUAGUUUUUUAGGUGAUAAUAAAGGCCGUAUAAUAAUUAGGCCGUAUUUGCCAAUUUGUUAUGAUAAACAUUAAUACUAGUGUUAAAUUUUGACCAAAUAAUUUUAGUUGAAGGGC